rfam:Eggerthella sp. CAG:368 genomic scaffold, scf32
AUACAACAUGUUCCGCUGCCCAAGACAGCUGGUACCGUAAGGUUUAAUCGUAUACACGGCCCGCCGAGGUGGUCAUAAAGAUGUCUUUAGCCGACCUCUGCUGUCACGUGCAGUAGAGGUCGUUUCUUUUUAAGGCU